CGCACACACACACACAUCAUAGUUAUCUUCCUAGGGGUCUACAUGCUGCAUGUUCUGCUCUGCCCUGUGAUGUUUAUCCCACAAGCGACAUCCCAUUAGUAUUAUUAGCCCACCCUUGCGCCGUCAGAAUACCAACAAGGAUUUCUUGGAGAUGGGAAAAGGUCCUGCCAGGCGAAAAACGACUACGGGCGCUAAUUCAGACACUGCUCACACCUAGAGGAGGCGUUCAUAAGUGGCCAUGCUUCUGUCUGAUGGAUCUGAAGAGAGGAUGAUUCAUCUGUAAAGCACUGUUUUGACCUGUUCUCUCUGAAUCGCUGUCUGGGUCACACAGUACGGAGUAGUGGAAGCUAAAAUGGAUCUCUCAGGUUGCGUUUGCUUCGUAGCUGUCGAUUUGGUUUUUGAGCUGCGACAUUAAGGAGGAAGAACAGCGCAAACUGGAAAACGUAAAGGGAUUGCUGUCCUACUCCUAUAAUCGUGUUACAGAUCCUUGUCCAAAGACCGGCUUUGAAAUACAAACAGGGAGAGUGGCAAAGAACAACGGCUCUGGCCUAUUGGAGCGGCUUCUUUUAUCAGGGACUGACUUUUGCAAUAUUUAUUAGGCUAAUGAGGGAACAUGGUCGUUUAGUGUCUGGAGCAAGCAGCCAGCCAUAGUUCUACUGAAGUGGUUUUGAUCAAUAGUUUUCAGACAUUUCUGUAGGUUUUUUAAUGCUUUUUAGACUUUGGCUCAUUUUUAGCAAAUGUUCAGACAAUGUUUUUUUUAGGAUUUGAAAAAUGAGAAACAAAUGGAGGACAAAGAAGAGCUAUGUCUGAAUAUCCAACAAAAACAUGACCAUGUAAUGGUUAGACCCCGAUCAUAAGACAACCCCACAUUUUAAAAGUAUUUUCAAUGAAACAAACCUUGUUGUCUUAUAUUCGGGUCAAUACGGUAUAUAUUUACCUAGACCUUGGACACUGAGUAAAAGUGACCACAUGCAUCUCUGCUUCAGGUAAACACCCACAGUUCCGCGCUGCAUCACUUUCUCUGUCGCAUAGCCAAACAAAUACCUCAUGGCCAAGCCCCGCCCCCUCCUGAAACACACACACAAGCAGCAACAAGAUAGACAGAACAGUUUGUUAAAGGCUAAUUUUUUCAACUGAUCUGCUGUAGGUCUCCAGUUUAAAUUAAUGCCUUAUGAAUAUGUUUCAGUGUAAAACAGCUCUCAUACUCCUAUGUCAAGGGUUAGCUGUUCGUCUACACAAUGGGGGGUUGGCAGAAAAAAGCAGGAUGAGUACCACUCAUUAAAAUUCACAAAGUGCAAACAUCUAACAGCAACCCAACUCUUACGCUGCUUUUGUUCAAUCUACUUUCUUGGAUAAAAAAAACCAUCAUUGAUGUUGUAUCCACAAAUAAAUCAAGCCCCAACGUCUUGCGCCAUGUUGUGGAGAUGCUAAUGCUAACGGUUAGCUUCUACUAGCUUCUACUAGUGACUCCAUGAAGGCCAAUAUUCUCUGUGAUGUAGUAGAAACAGGUUUUUGGACGUCUAUUUCCUUUCUGCAGCUAAAGCAGGAAAAAGCAUGUUCACAUUAAAGAGCGGGUCAAUUGAGCCUCGGAGACCUUCUCUACCCACGUAUCAAUUUCAAAAAAUGCAACAUUAGUAGGCGUUGCCUGGAGGACCGAGAGGGCGGAGCCGCGGCAGUGACGAAGACGACGGCUAACUAGACGAUGCUAGCUCCCUCCCUUCACUCUAUGCAGUUAUUAGAAGUGGAGGAUGUUUCUCCCCCUCCUUACCCAGACACUCGAGAAGAAAGGGACCAAGUCUAUUUGGAGGAGACAAGCGGACCUGAGCCUUAUUGUUGUGAGCUUGUGAGUUGCCUGUAACUCCCAGAACCGACCCAACAGAACCACCUCUGAACGUCCUCUGGUGUCUGCAGCUGGUCUCUGGUGUCUGCAGGUGGUCUCCUCUGCUGGUGCCAUCAGGAUCAGGAGCUUCCAGAAGAAUGUGCCUUUCAAUGACUCUUUCCUCCUUAUUUGUUAUAUUAAUUAAAUAAAUCUCAAUUUA